ensembl:lncRNA
UUGUUCUCUUGGCCCAUUCUCCUGGGUUCCGGGGCCCUUCUCGGGGUCCUUCUCGGGGUCCAGGGCACCAAGAGGAGGGGCUGUGAGCUCCGCCCCUGGGGAAGGUGUAUGGGGGAAGACCUGUCUGCCUUCACCUAGGCCAUGUCUUGAUGCUGCCCAAGAAGCCACAUCUUGUGCACAUCUGGUGCAGGGGAUCCUUGCACCAGGCUGGGCAUGAGCCAAGGUUCUCUUCCACGAGCGGAUCCUUUUCCAAGUGGGAACGCCUGGAGAGCCAGGGACUUGAAUCUUUUGGGGGUCUGGCCAAGUUGCCCGGAUUGAGCUGGAACUUGCUGCAGGUGUGCGCUGCCAUGUCUGGUCACUCUAACUUCUUCUGGAAACUUCUGUAGUGGAUCCUGUGUGCACCACCCAGACUACCACCUCAGGACGGGACUCUCGUUCCUCUGCUCAGAGAACGGAAAUUGACACUCACGGAUGAAUCUCACUGGGAAAAUGUCCUGGCUGAAAGGAGCUUCCUGGGGCCUUCCCACUGGAGAAGGGGAGGAGGGUAACAGAGGCCUCCACACCUUUCUCAAUACAGAGCAAAUUUGAAGGGUCAUCUCCUCUCCAGGGCUCUGUGUGGGGUUGGGUGAGACAUACAUUGAUUGAUUGAUUGGUUUUUAAUUUUUUUUUUUUUGGUACUGGGGAUCGAACUUGGGAUCUUGCACUUGCAAGGCAGGCAGCAGAACCACUGAACUAAAUCCCUAGCCCUUUAAAAAAAUUUUUUUUUGAUUGAUUAGUUUUUUGAGAUAAGGUUUCCUUAUGUAGUUCAGACUCACCUUGAACUCACCAUGUAGCCCAGGCUGGCCUUGGAUUUGCAGUGAUCUUCCUGCCUCAGCCUCCUGAGUACUGGAAUUAUAGGUAUGCACCACCACAUCUGGCUGGCUGAGAUCUUUAUUUUAAUGCAAAGGCCCCCCACCCCCACCCUCCUACUGGUGCUGAACCCAAGCACUCUUCCCAAGAAAUUUUCCCAACCAAUGAUACCUUCCUUGACCUUGCAGGCCAGGGUGGACUCCUUGAUUGCUUGCUCUUCCAAAAGGUAUGUCUCCCUGUAUGUUUUACAUCCACCCAUGCUCUCUGGCCUGUGUCUGCCUCCUCCAACCACUGUAAUGCCCACAAGGGUGGGAGCCAGAUCUGAUAUUAGUUACCGCUGCAUUCCGCCCCACUGGCACAUGGUUGAGAAAUAUUUGUUGAGUGAACAAACAAUGUUGUUAGCCAUCUAAUCUGAUUCCGUAGGAGGCCAUCAACUGUACUCAGGGCUGCAGUGUCUCAUUCUUUCAUUCAAUAAAUAUUUACAAAGAAAUUG